AGGCUCUUGGGUCGUAAACCUCUUUUCUCAAGGAAGAAGAAAGUGACGGUACUUGAGGAAUAAGCAUCGGCUAACUCCGUGCCAGCAGCCGCGGUAAUACGGAGGAUGCAAGCGUUAUCCGGAAUGAUUGGGCGUAAAGGGUCUGCAGGUGGAACUGAAAGUCUGCUGUUAAAGAGUUUGGCUUAACCAAAUAAAAGCGGUGGAAACUACAGAACUAGAGUGCGGUAGGGGCAAAAGGAAUUCCUGGUGUAGCGGUGAAAUGCGUAGAUAUCAGGAAGAACACCGGUGGCGAAAGCGUUUUGCUAGACCGUAACUGACACUGAGGGACGAAAGCUAGGGGAGCGAAUGGGAUUAGAUACCCCAGUAGUCCUAGCCGUAAACGAUGGAUACUAGGCGUGGCUUGUAUCGACCCGAGCCGUGCCGGAGCUAACGCGUUAAGUAUCCCGCCUGGGGAGUACGCACGCAAGUGUGAAACUCAAAGGAAUUGACGGGGGCCCGCACAAGCGGUGGAGUAUGUGGUUUAAUUCGAUGCAACGCGAAGAACCUUACCAAGACUUGACAUCCUGCGAAUCCCGGUGAAAGCUGGGAGUGCCUUAGGGAGCGCAGAGACAGGUGGUGCAUGGCUGUCGUCAGCUCGUGUCGUGAGAUGUUGGGUUAAGUCCCGCAACGAGCGCAACCCUCGUUUUUAGUUGCCAGCAUUAAGUUGGGCACUCUAGAGAGACUGCCGGUGACAAACCGGAGGAAGGUGGGGAUGACGUCAAGUCAGCAUGCCCCUUACGUCUUGGGCUACACACGUACUACAAUGCUACGGACAGAGGGCAGCGAGCCAGGGAUGGCAAGCGAAUCCAGAAACCGUAGCUCAGUUCAGAUCGAAGGCUGCAACUCGCCUUCGUGAAGGAGGAAUC
rnacentral:rRNA from 1 species